UACGUAGGGGGCAAGCGUUGUCCGGAUUUAUUGGGCGUAAAGAGCGUGUAGGCGGCCUGACAGGUCUGCUGUGAAAACUCGAGGCUCAACCUCGAGAUGUCGGCGGAAACCGUCUGGCUAGAGUCCGGAAGAGGAGAGUGGAAUUCCUGAUGUAGCGGUGAAAUGCGCAGAUAUCAGGAAGAACACCUAUGGCGAAGGCAGCUCUCUGGGACGGUACUGACGCUGAGACGCGAAAGCGUGGGGAGCGAACAGG
rnacentral:rRNA from 1 species